rnacentral:rRNA from 1 species
AUGGCCUGCCGCUGCUGCUGCUCAUCCCACCGGGCCUCCAUGGCCUGCCGCCGGCUGCUGGCGGCGGAGCGGGCGACGCGGGCCGCGAUGGCGCUCCGCGGCGACCCGAGGACGCCCGACUUCCUCCUGCUCCCGCCGGCCUUCUGCUUCCCGGCGCUCGAGCGGCUCGACCUCUCCCUCGCCUCGCCCUGGGGCCACCCGCUGCUCUCGUCCGCCUCGCGCGUCGCGGGGGCGCCGGCCUCCGCCUCCUCCAACCACCUCCCGCUCAGCCCGGAGGAGGCCGCCGAGCGCAACGCCUUCGUCGCGGCGCGCCUCGCCGCCUACUUCCCCGCCGUGGCCCGCCUCGCCGUCUACUGCCGCGACCCCUCCACGCUCGCCAGCCUCGCGCCCUGCUGGCGGGCCACGCUCCGCGCCGUCAAGCUCGUGCGCUGGCACCAGCGGCCGCUCGACCUCCCCGGCGGCGCGGAUCUCGAGCCGCUGCUCGGGUCCUGCCCCGCACUCGCGGCCCUCGACCUCUCCGAGUUCUACUGCUGGACGGAGGACGUCGUGCCGGCGCUCGACGCGCACCCGGCCGCCGCCGCCAGGCUCACCGACCUCGACCUCGGCCUCGCCGGCGCCUCCAACGGCUUCCACGCCGCCGAGCUCGGGGCCAUCGCGACCGCCUGCCCCGGCCUCCGGAGGCUCGUCGCGCCCUGCGUCUUCAACCCCCGCUACGUCGACCACGUCGGCGACGACGCGCUGCGCUCGCUCGCCGUCAGCUGCCCCCGGCUCACCGUCCUGCGCCUCAGCGAGCCCUUCGAGCCGGCGUCCACCAGCCAGCGGGAGGAGGCGGGCAUUACCGCCGUGGGGCUCGUCGCCUUCUUUGCCGCGCUCCCUGGGCUGGAGGACCUCACGCUGGACCUCCAGCACAAUGUGCUCGAGGCAGCUCCGGCGAUGGAGGAGCUCGCACGCAGGUGCCCGCGGAUUAAGGUCCUGACGCUGGGGUGCUUCCAGGGGCUGUGCAAGGCCGCCUGGUUGCAUCUCGACGGCGUCGCCGUGUGCGGCGGGCUGGAGUUGCUCUGCAUCAAGAAUUGCGAGGAUCUCACCGACGCCAGCCUUGCGGCGAUCGGCCGUGGCUGUGGGAGGCUUGCCAAGUUUGCGAUCCAAGGAUGUAACCUUGUCACGUCAGAUGGGAUCAGGAGGCUAGCUGUGGCGCUCCGGCCGACAUUGAAGGAGGUCAGUGUGCUGCACUGCCGGUUUCUGCACACUGCAGCAUGCCUUGCUGCUCUGAACCCGAUCCGCGAUCGGAUUGAGAGCCUUGAGAUCAACUGUGACUGGGAGGAGGUUGAACAGCCCAGCUCCAGCUGCGUGGCCAAUGGCACAACCGGAAGUGAUCAUGAGGAUGACGAGCCUAGUGAAAUGGCGUACCAGUCCGCGCCCAAGAAAUGCAGGUUCUCCUACUUGGAAAUGGAUAAUUAUGAAAGCUGGGAAAUGCUCCGCUCACUCUCCCUUUGGUGCCCUGCUGGUCAGCUGCUCUCCCCGCUCAUUUCUGCCGGGCUCGAUAGCUGCCCUGUGCUUGAGAAGAUCUCGAUUAAGGUGGAGGGCGAUCUUCGGACGUGUCCGCGUCCAUUUCAUGGGUCAGCGUUUGGCUUAAGCGACCUUGGAGCCUUCCAGGCGUUGGCCAAGAUGAAACUGGACCUCAGCGAGGCGGUGGGUUAUGCACUCACCGCGCCAACGGGGCAUAUGGAUCUUUCACAGUGGGAGCGGUUUUAUCUGAGCGGUAUCGAGUCAUUGCUGAGUUUGUAUGAACUGGACUACUGGCCGCCCCAAGACAAGGAUGUGAACCACCGGAGCCUGUCACUGCCAGCGGUCGCAUUGUUCCAGCACUCCAUCGGACUCAGGAAGCUCUUCAUCCAUGGCACCACACACGAGCACUUCAUGAGCUUCUUCCAGAAAAUGCCAAACUUGAGGGACGUGCAGCUAAGGGAGGACUACUAUCCAGCACCAGAGAACGACAUGAUGAUCACAGAGAUGCGGGCUGAAUCUUGUCUCCGGUUCGAGCAGCAGCUGAACAACCGGCAAUUUCGGCAAAUUCCUGAUUGA